UUUAUGGAGAGUUUGAUCCUGGCUCAGGAUGAACGCUGGCGGCGUGCCUAAUACAUGCAAGUCGAGCGAACGGACGAGAAGCUUGCUUCUCUGAUGUUAGCGGCGGACGGGUGAGUAACACGUGGAUAACCUACCUAUAAGACUGGGAUAACUUCGGGAAACCGUAGCUAAUACCGGAUAAUAUUUUGAACCGCAUGGUUCAAAAGUGAAAGACGGUCUUGCUGUCACUUAUAGAUGGAUCCGCGCUGCAUUAGCUAGUUGGUAAGGUAACGGCUUACCAAGGCAACGAUGCAUAGCCGACCUGAGAGGGUGAUCGGCCACACUGGAACUGAGACACGGUCCAGACUCCUACGGGAGGCAGCAGUAGGGAAUCUUCCGCAAUGGGCGAAAGCCUGACGGAGCAACGCCGCGUGAGUGAUGAAGGUCUUCGGAUCGUAAAACUCUGUUAUUAGGGAAGAACAUAUGUGUAAGUAACUGUGCACAUCUUGACGGUACCUAAUCAGAAAGCCACGGCUAACUACGUGCCAGCAGCCGCGGUAAUACGUAGGUGGCAAGCGUUAUCCGGAAUUAUUGGGCGUAAAGCGCGCGUAGGCGGUUUUUUAAGUCUGAUGUGAAAGCCCACGGCUCAACCGUGGAGGGUCAUUGGAAACUGGAAAACUUGAGUGCAGAAGAGGAAAGUGGAAUUCCAUGUGUAGCGGUGAAAUGCGCAGAGAUAUGGAGGAACACCAGUGGCGAAGGCGACUUUCUGGUCUGUAACUGACGCUGAUGUGCGAAAGCGUGGGGAUCAAACAGGAUUAGAUACCCUGGUAGUCCACGCCGUAAACGAUGAGUGCUAAGUGUUAGGGGGUUUCCGCCCUUAGUGCUGCAGCUAACGCAUUAAGCACUCCGCCUGGGGAGUACGACCGCAAGGUUGAAACUCAAAGGAAUUGACGGGGACCCGCACAAGCGGUGGAGCAUGUGGUUUAAUUCGAAGCAACGCGAAGAACCUUACCAAAUCUUGACAUCCUUUGACAACUCUAGAGAUAGAGCCUUCCCCUUCGGGGGACAAAGUGACAGGUGGUGCAUGGUUGUCGUCAGCUCGUGUCGUGAGAUGUUGGGUUAAGUCCCGCAACGAGCGCAACCCUUAAGCUUAGUUGCCAUCAUUAAGUUGGGCACUCUAAGUUGACUGCCGGUGACAAACCGGAGGAAGGUGGGGAUGACGUCAAAUCAUCAUGCCCCUUAUGAUUUGGGCUACACACGUGCUACAAUGGACAAUACAAAGGGCAGCGAAACCGCGAGGUCAAGCAAAUCCCAUAAAGUUGUUCUCAGUUCGGAUUGUAGUCUGCAACUCGACUACAUGAAGCUGGAAUCGCUAGUAAUCGUAGAUCAGCAUGCUACGGUGAAUACGUUCCCGGGUCUUGUACACACCGCCCGUCACACCACGAGAGUUUGUAACACCCGAAGCCGGUGGAGUAACCUUUUAGGAGCUAGCCGUCGAAGGUGGGACAAAUGAUUGGGGUGAAGUCGUAACAAGGUAGCCGUAUCGGAAGGUGCGGCUGGAUCACCUCCUUUCU
rnacentral:rRNA from 1 species